GUAGAAAAAUAGUUUCCGUUAGAUAAAAGUAGAAAUCUAGCUGGAAUCUUGCCAGAAUUUAGAGAAUUUGGUCGGAAACUCUCCAGAAUCUAGGCAUCUCUCUGGAAUAUGUGCAUGAACCAUCAUUCGGAGAAUUAAAGCGCAAUUGUCUUGACUGAAGGCGCAAUUGCCUCGCCUUGCUAGGAAAUUGGGCCUAGGCGCAAGAGGCGAUGGCUUUUAACAACUAUGGUUCAGUGUUUGAUUUGGUUGAUUUUUUUGUACAGGUACUGUGGUUAAUUUUAAAUACACGGUCUUCAUACUUUUUGCUGUUAAUUUGUAGUUACAAAGUGAUAAUUUGCUCGGAUCUGCUUAAAAUUUUAUUGCUCCAUGAUUUUAAAAAUCUGGUGAUGGGAGUGUUGAGCUGUGUAGUGAGCAAAAUAUAAUGAUUGUUCUAGCGCCAUUAUUUAACUUCACUUUCGAUUGUGUUUGUGGUGCAAGUUCUCGAUAGUGUUUCCACCAUUUGAUAUAGUGUAAGCUACGUGUAACGGUGUAAGCAACUUUGAUGCUAGCUACAAUAGUAUAAAGCCCUGUGAGCCUGCAAGUGAUUCUUGCAUUCUGUCAAGAAGAAAAGUGCAUAGAGAACAUCGAAGGUUUGAUAAAGAAUAUGUGAUGCGGUGAGGAAGUUGGGCCAGAACCGUAAAUGCCUUUGUGUCGUUAUGUUGUCUAGAACUGCCAAGAGUUGGGUGAAGCUAGAUAUUGUUAUGACCAUUCCGAAACAGUGCAAUAUAGCUGAUCGUCCUGUUGGUUAUCAAGUGGAGCUUAUAUAGUGCCUUGAAAACUUGAAGGCUAUUAGUUUCGACGGAAGCUGUACCAGUCUUGUGCCAAGUGCAAGAGAGAGAGAGAAAGAAAUUACGGUAGAGAGAGGGAGAAAGAGGGAGAGAGAGGCAGGGAGGAGAAACGACGGCGUCGUUUAGGGUUCCGUCGCAAACACAACGCCGUUGGCGACUAUGGUUGACGUUGCAAGCUCCGGUUCUGUCAAGAGAAGAAUAUUUGAUACUUUUUCAGCAUAAUUCGGUAAUCUUGAAUCAGUUCCGGUGAAGCUCCGAUGAACCGUUCAACACUUACAUGUCUCAGAUCUGUUUAGAUCGGUGACUCUCAGGCCACCAUCGAUGGGUUAGGUUUCACGGCUUUCCCAUUGAUUGAGGAUAUCUCAGGAGCCACGCGAUGACAUUGUGGUUGUAGUAGAUUUAGAUGGCGAUGAAAGGUUAACGUGGUGAUUUUGAAAGUGUUUUGGUCUCGAAAUAUUUUCUCAAUUUGUUAGUGGGAGGGAGCUGUGGCACAUGAAGACUUUGAGGGGAAUAAAGUGACUAUUGGAGCUGGUGAUUUGCAGUGGAUGACUGACAGAUAGACAUAAGAGGGAUGGGAAUCAUUGGGACGGCUACUCGUGUAUGGAUUGAUAGAUAAAAAUUGUUGAGCUUUGGAAACCCAAAACAUAUCGGAUGGGGCUUCUGGUGUGGAAGUGAUAAAAAAGUCAAGGGUCGAGUUCGGUAUCAGGUGAUACCUUAGCCGAGUAAAAGGGUUUUUGAAGACUAUUAGAUGCUUUCAAUGAUGACUGGGAGCCUCAGCCUCAAAGAUCAUGAUGUAUGAUUUAGAUGCAUAGACAGGUUACCAUCUUCAGUAUAGAAAGGACUUUGUACAACAUUUAUUGUUAUUUUUUUUUUAUUUUUGGCACUAACUAGGCGGAAUACUUUAUAAAACAAAUAUUUUAAUUCG